rnacentral:rRNA from 1 species
UUGCCAGACUCCUACGGGAGGCAGCAGUGGGGAAUAUUGCACAAUGGGGGGAACCCUGAUGCAGCGACGCCGCGUGGGUGAAGGAGCACCUCGGUGCGUAAAGCCCUAUCGGCAGGGAAGAAAAGCGAACAGGUUCGCCUGGACGGUACCUGACUAAGAAGCCCCGGCUAACUACGCGCCAGCAGCCGCGGUAAUACGUAGGGGGCAAGCGUUAUCCGGAUUCACUGGGUGUAAAGGGAGCGUAGACGGCGACGCAAGCCUGGAGUGAAAGCCCGGGGCCCAACCCCGGGACUGCUCUGGGAACUGUGCGGCUGGAGUGCGGGAGGGGCAGGCGGAAUUCCUAGUGUAGCGGUGAAAUGCGUAGAUAUUAGGAGGAACACCAGUGGCGAAGGCGGCUUGCUGGACAGUAACUGACGUUGAGGCUCGAAAGCGUGGGGAGCAAACAGGAUUAGAUACCCUGGUA